GGGCUCCGAGGGUGUGACUCUCGGCGGGCUCAGUGACUUCUCCAGCUGUGCCUAAAAGGGAUCGCAGAAGCAACCCGAGGAAGGGGUUGAUUCCCACAAGAGCGCCCUCUGAAGGACAAGUCGGGACAAAGGGGAACAGUCAACCGUAGACAAGGCACCUUAGGGGAAUAGAGUCCCGAGGCCCUGACGGAGGCUAGAGGAGCCGCCGGUACCGGAAACCAGCGAGUUGACGCUGUUUGAAGCGCCCAUUGCAGCCUAGAGCGCCUGGUCUGGCUGCAGAGGGAUUCGCGGACACCGCCCCUAAGGAGCUGGGGGAGGAAAGAUGCAGGUGACCUUGGUUCCUGGCCCAGAGCUUUUCACAUACUUGAAAUUUCCCGAGUGACUGAAGUGUCUGUUAGCCACGAGCCCCUCUGAGCACACCUGAGUUUUUGCUGAUGCGGUGACUAAUGGCAAGUCCUUCAGAUGGGAGCUGAUCAGCAGAGAAGCCAAUUUUGUGAUUACAGAGUUGGGAUUUUGAGCCCGUUUGCCCUCCAGGGAGGAAGGGGGCUUUAAUUGAGCUCAAUCACAUUGCAGUGAUUUGAUCAAUCCCACUUAAGUGAUGAAACUGCAAUAAAAACUUUGGACUCUGAAGCCCCUCAGUGGCGCUUCCUGGUUGGUGAA